rnacentral:rRNA from 1 species
AGAGUUUGAUCAUGGCUCAGGACGAACGCUGGCGGCGCGCUUAACACAUGCAAGUCGAGCGAGAACCGGGACUUCGGUCCUGGGGACAGCGGCGAACGGGUGAGUAACACGUGGGUAAUCUGCCCUCGAUUCUGGGAUAGCCCGGGGAAACCCGGAUUAAUACCGGAUAGCCUUUCGAGCUUUCGGGCUUGAAAGAAAAGGUAGCUUCGGCCUCCGAUCGAGGAUGAGCCCGCGGUGGAUUAGCUUGUUGGCGGGGUAAUGGCCCACCAAGGCGACGAUCCAUAGCUGGUCUGAGAGGACGAUCAGCCACACUGGGACUGAGACACGGCCCAGACUCCUACGGGAGGCAGCAGUGGGGAAUCUUGCGCAAUGGGCGAAAGCCUGACGCAGCGACGCCGCGUGGGGGAAGAAGGCCUUAGGGUUGUAAACCUCUUUCAGGUGGGACGAAGCCACUCGGGUUAAUAGCCCAGAGGGUGACGGUACCGCCAGAAGAAGCCCCGGCUAACUACGUGCCAGCAGCCGCGGUA